rnacentral:rRNA from 1 species
AACCUCCGCAAUGUGAGAAAUCGCGACGGGGGGAUCCCAAGUGCCAUUCUUAACGGGAUGGCUUUUCAUUAGUGUAAAGAGCUUUUGGAAUAAGAGCUGGGCAAGACCGGUGCCAGCCGCCGCGGUAACACCGGCAGCUCUAGUGAUAGCUGUUUUUAUUGGGCCUAAAGCGUUCGUAGCCGGUUUGAUAAGUCACUGGUGAAAUCCUGUAGCUUAACUGUGGGAAUUGCUGGUGAUACUGUUGAACUUGAGGUCGGGAGAGGUUAGCGGUACUCCCAGGGUAGAGGUGAAAUUCUGUAAUCCUGGGAGGACCACCUGUGGCGAAGGCGGCUAACUGGAACGAACCUGACGGUGAGGGACGAAAGCUAGGGGCGCGAACCGGAUUAGAUACCCGGGUAGUCCUAGCCGUAAACGAUGCGGACUUGGUGUUGGGAUGGCUUUGAGCCGCUCCGGUGCCGAAGGGAAGCUGUAAGUCCGCCGCCUGGGAAGUACGGUCGCAAGACUGAAACUUAAAGGAAUU